AUACGGAGGGUCCAAGCGUUAUCCGGAAUCAUUGGGUUUAAAGGGUGCGCAGGCGGUUUAUUAAGUCAGUGGUGAAAUCUCGAGGCUCAACCUCGAAACUGCCAUUGAUACUGAUAAACUUGAGUUCAGUUGGAGUAGGCGGAAUGUGUAGUGUAGCGGUGAAAUGCUUAGAUAUUACACAGAACACCGAUAGCGAAGGCAGCUUACUAAACUGAUACUGACGCUGAGGCACGAAAGCGUGGGGAGCGAACAGGAUUAGAAACCCUAGUAGUCC
rnacentral:rRNA from 1 species